AACGCACAUUGCGCCUCCCUUUGCGGGGAGGCAUGCCUGUCUGAGCGUCAUUUAACUCAUACCUUCUUAGUGUGUUGGGCCUCGCCCCAGCGGCGUAGCCUCAAAGUCAUUGGUCUAAAGGCGGACAAGAUCCAUUGGGACCGACCGUUUGGGACCAUAAACCUCUGACUUGACCUCAGAUCAGGUAGGGCUACCGCCUGAACUUAA
rnacentral:misc_RNA from 3 species